rnacentral:rRNA from 1 species
GACGAACGCUGGCGGCGUGCCUAAUACAUGCAAGUAGAACGCUGAAGGAGGAGCUUGCUCUUCUGGAUGAGUUGCGAACGGGUGAGUAACGCGUAGGUAACCUGCCUGGUAGCGGGGGAUAACUAUUGGAAACGAUAGCUAAUACCGCAUAACAGUAGAUGUUGCAUGACAUUUACUUAAAAGGUGCAAUUGCAUCACUACCAGAUGGACCUGCGUUGUAUUAGCUAGUUGGUGGGGUAACGGCUCACCAAGGCGACGAUACAUAGCCGACCUGAGAGGGGGAUCGGCCACACUGGGACUGAGACACGGCCCAGACUCCUACGGGAGGCAGCAGUAGGGAAUCUUCGGCAAUGGACGGAAGUCUGACCGAGCAACGCCGCGUGAGUGAAGAAGGUUUUCGGAUCGUAAAGCUCUGUUGUAAGAGAAGAACGAGUGUGAGAGUGGAAAGUUCACACUGUGGCGGUAUCUUACCAGAAAGGGACGGCUAACUACGUG